GAUGAACACUGGCGGCGUGCUUAACACAUGCAAGUCGAACGGUGAAGCAGAGCUUGCUCUGUGGAUCAGUGGCGAACGGGUGAGUAACACGUGAGCAACCUGCCCCUGACUCUGGGAUAAGCGCUGGAAACGGCGUCUAAUACUGGAUAUGAGCUGCGACCGCAUGGUCAGCAGUUGGAAAGAUUUUUCGGUCUGGGAUGGGCUCACGGCCUAUCAGCUUGUUGGUGAGGUAAUGGCUCACCAAGGCGUCGACGGGUAGCCGGCCUGAGAGGGUGACCGGCCACACUGGGACUGAGACACGGCCCAGACUCCUACGGGAGGCAGCAGUGGGGAAUAUUGCACAAUGGGCGAAAGCCUGAUGCAGCAACGCCGCGUGAGGGAUGACGGCCUUCGGGUUGUAAACCUCUUUUAGCAGGGAAGAAGCGAAAGUGACGGUACCUGCAGAAAAAGCGCCGGCUAACUACGUG
rnacentral:rRNA from 1 species